GCACGGGUGCGUAACGCGUAUGCAACCUACCUUAAUCAGGGGGGUAGCCCGAAGAAAUUCGGAUUAACACCGCAUAAAAUCACAGUAUAGCAUUAUACAAUGAUCAAAUAUUUAUAGGAUUAAGAUGGGCAUGCGUGACAUUAGUUAGUUGGCGGGGUAACGGCCCACCAAGACCACGAUGUCUAGGGGAUCUGAGAGGAUGACCCCCCACACUGGUACUGAGACACGGACCAGACUCCUACGGGAGGCAGCAGUAAGGAAUAUUGGUCAAUGGAGGCAACUCUGAACCAGCCAUGCCGCGUGCAGGAAGACAGCCCUCUGGGUCGUAAACUGCUUUUAUUCGGGAAUAAACCUAUCUACGUGUAGAUAGCUGAAUGUACCGAAGGAAUAAGGAUCGGCUAACUCCGUGCCAGCAGCCGCGG
rnacentral:rRNA from 1 species